rnacentral:rRNA from 1 species
CCCUUAGAUGCUCUGGGCCGCACGCGCGCUACACUGGUCGAUGCAACGAGUUUCUUUCCUUGGCCGACAGGCCUGGGCAAUCUUUGAACAUCGAUCGUGAUCGGGAUAGAUUCUUGUAAUUUUUGAUCUUAAACGAGGAAUUCCUAGUAAACGCAAGUCAUCAGCUUGCAUUGAUUACGUCCCUGCCCUUUGUACACACCGCCCGUCGCACCUACCGAUUGAAUGGUCCGGUGAAAUCUCCGGACUGGCGUGAGUCGGAGCAAUCUGACAAACACCGGAAAGUUGGCUAAACCUUACCAUUUAGAGGAAGGUGAAGUCGUAACA